rnacentral:lncRNA from 1 species
AUCUCUAUAAAGAUACAGAGGCUGGAGCACAAGAGCAUCGGUGGGAAGAAAAACUCUAGGCAAUAACCCUCAGUUUCCAAAGUCAAUCUGCCUGCCAAUUUCUUCACUUGCCUGACAUUUGGCCUUGCCAUAGCCUCUUCCUGAAUCCAGCCUCAAGUCUGCAACAUUGAUUAUUUGAGAUCAAUUCAUAAUAUAUCAGGGCAUGACUCUAUGUAAGCCGCUCAAUUGGGAGAGAUUUUUCCAUUUGAUUCUAGGUGACAUUUUGGAGCAUAUUAUUUUUUGUGGGUUUUUUUUUGAGCUUAUUAUUAAUGGAUGGUUUGUGAGCCAUUAGAAAGGAAAGCAGCAAUCCCAAAGAGUGAGCAUGAGCUCAUUUAUUACAAGUCGUUCCGAAUAGCUCUUAGAGUUACUACAUUGGGGGGAAUGCCCAGACACGGGUUAGACAUAAUCUGGCCCUGCUCAAUCUUGUCUCGUAUUACUUCAGUCCAUGCACACGAGCUCCCCUCUAUGUCCCGGCCAGAGUGGGCAGCUCUCUGCUCACAUCGGCUCUGUCCUGGGUUGAUGGUCUUCCCUGAUGAACAUUGUGGAACCCUUUCCUGCCCAACCCACUCUGCACUAGAUAUGGUCUGAGACCUGCUCCUUUCUACUUAGCAAAUGGGAAUAAAGGAAGCAGCUGGGCACAUGGAGAGAGCAGGGCUCUGGAGCCAGAAAACUGGUGCUUACUACCCCUGGGACCUGGGAAAUUACUCUACUGGCCUCGGUUUCCUGAACUGUAGUUGGAAUAAUUGAGUCUCUGAGGUUUUGGUUACUUCUAAAGUGAUCCUCAAUUUAAAUGUUCCACUGGUGCUUAUGGCUUCUGCUGGUGUGACCUUGUUUACCUUCAGUUCCCUCUAUAACAAAGGGUUCUUUCCAAUUCUAGACCCGAUGAUCCUAGGAUACAAAGUCUCCCUCCCCCAAGCCCAUGCAGCUUUUUG